GUGGAUUAGAUACCCUGGUAGUCCACGCCCUAAACGGUGCACACUAGGUCUUGGCGGAUUCGACCCCUCCAGGGCCCAAGCUAACGCGUUAAGUGUGCCGCCUGAGGACUACGGCCGCAAGGCUAAAACUCAAAGGAAUUGACGGGGGCCCGCACAAGCGGUGGAGCAUGUGGCUCAAUUCGAUGCAACGCGAAGAACCUUACCAGGCCUUGACAUGCACUAGACCGACUCUGAAAGGAGUCCUCCCUUCGGGGCUGGUGCACAGGUGCUGCACGGCUGUCGACAGCU
rnacentral:rRNA from 1 species